GGAUUUAGAGAACAAGAAACCUUUUGAUUGAUUGAGUUUUACUUUGUGGUUUAACAUUUUAAUUUCACUUUGUAUUUAAUCGGUUAUAAAUCUUUGAAUUUGGUUUCUCCUAUUCUUUCAAAAAAAUCGAAUUUGAAUUUCUGUUUAUGUUUUCAAUCUCUGUCCAUGGCUGGCAAAUGAAUUCCCAAUUAACGUUUCCCUCUUGCUCUUGAUGCAGGUUAAAAGACCUAAUUUUAUGUUCAUUGUAAAUUAUGAUUUCUUGAAUUUAUUAAGGGAUUGGAGAAUUUUCAGAGUUAAAGUUUGUAUCUUUUAGAUUUCAAGGUUAAAGGACCUAUGCAGAUCGAUAAAUACAGUCAAUUGAACCAAAAGAGAGAGAUCAAAUUUAAAACUUGAUUGAAGUGGUACGAUCACUUUGUUUCUUGAUAGGUCUUCUUUGUUUUUUCUUGAUAGGUCUUCUUUGUUGUAAUGAUCGUGUUUCAAUUUUUAAGCAUAAAUGCAAAAUUGAGCUACUGUUUUUGUUAAUUGUAAAAUCAUGAUUACUCAGAAUAUUUUACAAUUAAUUGCAAAAUCUUCAAAAUUUUAUUCCUGCA